GACGAACGCUGGCGGCGCGCUUAACACAUGCAAGUCGAGCGAGAACCGGGGCUUCGGCCCCGGGGACAGCGGCGAACGGGUGAGUAACACGUGGGUAACCUGCCCUCGGCACCGGGAUAGCCCGGGGAAACCCGGAUUAAUACCGGACAGCCUCCGGAGCCUUCGGGCGCCGGAGAAAAGGUGGCUUCGGCUUCCGGCCGAGGAGGGGCCUGCGGCGGAUUAGCUUGUUGGCGGGGUAAUGGCCCACCAAGGCGACGAUCCGUAGCUGGUCUGAGAGGACGAUCAGCCACACUGGGACUGAGACACGGCCCAGACUCCUACGGGAGGCAGCAGUGGGGAAUCUUGCACAAUGGGCGCAAGCCUGAUGCAGCGACGCCGUGUGCGGGAAGAAGGCCUUCGGGUUGUAAACCGCUUUCAGGAGGGACGAAGCUCCUCGGGUUAAUAGCCCAGAGGGUGACGGUACCUCCAGAAGAAGCCCCGGCUAACUACGUGCCAGCCGCCGCCGUAA
rnacentral:rRNA from 1 species